CUACAACAGAUAGUUGUUUCAGCGAGGAAUUAACCCUUGAAGUUUGAACAUAUUAUGUGCAAUGUGACUGGCCACAAAACAAACCUACUCUAAAUUAUUACCCUAGAUUGCACCCUUCUUUCUGGCUGUGGGAACUGGAUGAGCGCUGGCUUAGGGAAUUAAAGAUAUCGAUAUCGCUCCGGUAUGCAUCAACCAGUAAGUGGCUUGGUUGUGAUUGUCUGCCCAACUCGUUCAAGGUAAUGCCACAUUGUAGAUAAUCAGCACCAGCCAUUGCAAGAGCUUCAAUUGAAGGCGGCAUGUCGAUUUUAUUUUUGGAACUGCAGAAAGAAUCUUAACUGUAUUGAGGACAAGUCCUUCAGGAGUAUAUGUAGAGGAAAUUAAACGUAUUUCUUGUCCAACGAUAUUUCGAAUUGGGUAACAUUCUUUAUUUUCUUUUAGAUUUUCAGUUAGGAAAGGAUUACUAGUCCUAUUUCUCUAUUUGAUUUGGUCUAACUUCAUGUUUCCUA